rnacentral:rRNA from 1 species
GAUGAACGCUGGCGGCGUGCCUAAUACAUGCAAGUCGAGCGAACAGAUGAGGAGCUUGCUCCUCUGACGUUAGCGGCGGACGGGUGAGUAACACGUGGAUAACCUACCUAUAAGACUGGGAUAACUUCGGGAAACCGGAGCUAAUACCGGAUAAUCUAUUGAACCGCAUGGUUCAAUAGUGAAAGACGGUUUUGCUGUCACUUAUAGAUGGAUCCGCGCCGCAUUAGCUAGUUGGUAAGGUAACGGCUUACCAAGGCAACGAUGCGUAGCCGACCUGAUAGGGGGGUCGGCCACACUAGAACUGAGACACGGUCCAGACUCCUACGGGAGGCAGCAGUAGGGAAUCGUCCGCAGUGGGCGAAAGCUUGACGGAGCAACGCCGCGUGAGUGAUGAAGGUCUUCGGAUCGUAAAACUCUGUUAUUAGGGAAGAACAAAUGUGUAAGUAACUAUGCACGUCUUGACGGUACCUAAUAAGAAAGCCACGGCUAACUACGUG